rnacentral:rRNA from 1 species
GUGAGGAAUUUUCCGCAAUGGGCGAAAGCCUGACGGAGCAAUGCCGCGUGAAGGAUGAAGGCCUAUGGGUUGUAAACUUCUUUUCUCAGAAAAGAAUUAUGACGGUAUCUGAGGAAUAAGCAUCGGCUAACUCUGUGCCAGCAGCCGCGGUAAGACAGAGGAUGCAAGCGUUAUCCGGAAUGAUUGGGCGUAAAGCGUCUGUAGGUUGUUUAAAAAGUAUUCUGUCAAAGAUUAGGGCUUAACCCUAGAUAGGCAGAAUAAACUUUUAAGCUAGAGUUUGGUAGAGGCAGAGGGAAUUCCCGGUGGAGCGGUGAAAUGCGUAGAUAUCGGGAGGAACACCAAAGGCGAAGGCACUCUGCUGGGCCAAUACUAACACUGAGAGACGAAAGCGAGGGGAGCAAAUGGGAUUAGUUACCCCAGUAGUCC